rnacentral:rRNA from 1 species
GAUGAACGCUGGCGGCGUGCCUAAUACAUGCAAGUCGAGCGAACGGACGAGAAGCUUGCUUCUCUGAUGUUAGCGGCGGACGGGUGAGUAACACGUGGAUAACCUACCUAUAAGACUGGGAUAACUUCGGGAAACCGUAGCUAAUACCGGAUAAUAUUUUGAACCGCAUGGUUCAAAAGUGAAAGACGGUCUUGCUGUCACUUAUAGAUGGAUCCGCGCUGCAUUAGCUAGUUGGUAAGGUAACGGCUUACCAAGGCAACGAUGCAUAGCCGACCUGAGAGGGGGUCGGGCACCACGGAAGCGGAGCCACGGCCCAGCCACUGAGGGACGGCACAGGAGGGGAUUCUUCCGAAAUGGGGGAAAGCUUGAGGAGCAACGCCGCGUGAGUGAUGAAGGUCUUCGGAUCGUAAAACUCUGUUAUUAGGGAAGAACAUAUGUGUAAGUAACUGUGCACAUCUUGACGGUACCUAAUCAGAAAGCCACGGCUAACUACGUG